UCUGCCGCUGCCUCUGCCCGCAGUUCAUAUUAGUUGUUUUUUUUUUCGAAGUAGUUCGGAGCAGUGACCGAAAAUAAGAGUGAGAGAUGAGAGGAGACAAAAUCAGAGUCGAGAAAAAACGCAAUGUAUAGACUUCUGAAUAUCGUUCUAAUAAUUGAAGUGACAAGUGGUGUUUGGAAAAUUUUCAACGUGAAAUAUAUAAAACCGAUAGCAUACGCACAUUAGGAGGCCAGCCCAGCAGCCACCGGAGAAGGCCUUGCCCCAAUGGCCGCACUUGCAUUUGUUAAAAAGAACGCAAACAAAAAUAGGAAAAAAUUAAUGUAAUAAAAGAAAAAAUAAAAAUUUAAUUUAACAUUUAAA